GCUCCUCCUCUCCAGGAUCCAGGACCUUGUGACUACUCAGCGACUGUCAGAGGCAGCAACCUUAUUGCUGUGCUUAUUACCUGGUAUUUAUUGUCUGUCUGAUCACCUCCACCAUCACUACCACUAGAAGGUAAGCUCCUUGAGGGCAGCAGCCACAUAUGCCCAGCACCUAGAAGAAUGCCUGGC
rnacentral:lncRNA from 1 species